rnacentral:misc_RNA from 1 species
AACGCAUAUUGCACUCUUUGGUAUUCCGAAGAGUAUGCCUGUUUCAGUAUCAAGAAAGGAUCAAGCUCAAAUUUUGGAAUUUUUUAAUGCAAAAAAUCCCAAAAGUUUGGAAAUGGAUAAAUGGCAGAUUACGGAAAAUUAUUCCGUUUGUCAUCAGCCAACCUAAACUUUACAGUCGUGGUAGUCUCAAACGUCGUGGAAGCUUCAUACCAAAAGGCCUAAUAGUUGACUUUGCAGUCAUCUUUCGCCUGCUUGAAGUGACAUCCAACGAAAGCGAGACACCAUUGUCCGCAAGGAAAGCAAAAUAAACGAACUUUGGAGGAUUUCUUUCCUAAAAGGUUCACACCUUUAAUCUGAAAUCAGGUAGGAUUACCCGCUGAACUUAA